rnacentral:pre_miRNA from 1 species
UAGCAGCACAUCAUGGUUUGCAGGCUCCCAGUACAGGUCCAAACCAUUAUGUGCUGUUACU